AAUAUUGCGCAAUGGGCGAAAGCCUGACGCAGCAAUGCCGCGUGAGCGACGAAGGCCUUCGGGUCGUAAAGCUCUGUCGAGAGAGACGAAACCCUGGUAGACAAUACCCUACCAGUUUGACGGUAUCUCCAAAGGAAGCACCGGCUAACUCCGUGCCAGCAGCCGCGGUAAUACGGAGGGUGCAAGCGUUGUUCGGAAUUACUGGGCGUAAAGGGCGUGUAGGCGGACCAAGUAGUCGGGUGUGAAAGCCCUGGGCUCAACCCAGGAAGUGCGCCCGAAACCAUUGGUCUUGAGAUUCGGAGGGGAGCGGGGAAUUCCCAGUGUAGAGGUGAAAUUCGUAGAUAUUGGGAGGAACACCGGUGCCGAAGGGGCCGCUCUGGACGAAUACUGACGCUGAGACGCGAAAGCGUGGGUAGCAAACAGGAUUAGAUACCCUGGUAGUCCACGCUGUA
rnacentral:rRNA from 1 species